rnacentral:rRNA from 1 species
AGGCCGAAAGGCGUAGUCGAUGGUCAGCAGGUUAAUAUUCCUGCACUCCGUCUAAAGGUUGAUACGUAAGUGCGUUUUUCCAGAAUGUAGCCCAUUACUAGAUUAGGGUGCCCGCAAGGGCGAGGCCGAUUUGUUGCCGAAGUAUGUAACGGAAGAACCGAGAAAAGCUUGCGUGGACGAUAGGCGGAACCGUACUAAAACUGACACAGGUAGGCGAGGCGCGUAGCCUCAGGCGCUCGAGAGAACGGUCCUUAAGGAACUAGGCAAAAUCACCCCGUAACUCCGGGAUAAGGGGUCCCUACUGUUGUUAUAAAUAACAGAGGGCGCAGAGAAUCGGCAGCGGCGACUGUUUAUCAAAAACACAGGACUCUGCUAACUCGCAAGAGGAUGUAUAGAGUCUGACGCCUGCUCGGUGCGGGAAUGUUAAGGAAGUAGGUCAAGGGAUUCGUCCCUGAAGCUUGCGACCGAAGCACCCGUAAACGGCGGCCCUAACUAUGAGGGUCCUAAGGUAGCGAAAUUCCUUGUCGGGUAAGUUCCGACCCGCACGAAAGGCGUAAUGACUGGGACACUGUCUCGA